CUCCCGCCGGCGACCGGCGCACGGGUGAGUAACACGUAUGAAACCUGCCCGUAGCAGGGGGAUAAGCGGAAGAAAUUCCGUCUAAUACCGCGUAACAACCCAUGGAGGCAUCUCUGUGGGUUUAAAGGAAGCGAUUCCGGCUACGGAUGGUCAUGCGUCGCAUUAGCUUGUUGGCGGGGUAACGGCCCACCAAGGCGACGAUGCGUAGGGGUUCUGAGAGGAAGGUCCCCCACACUGGUACUGAGACACGGACCAGACUCCUACGGAAGGCAGCAG
rnacentral:rRNA from 1 species